rnacentral:misc_RNA from 1 species
UAAAAACCCUCCCGCCUAAACGCUGCGAAGCGGAAGCCUUCGUCGUCCGAUCACCAAAACGAAAUGAGGAAGAAAGUCCUAACGAUCCUUCUCUCUCAUUCAAUCCCUUCGCUAUCCUCCAAUGCACUCAAUCCCAUUUUCCCUUCAACCUUUCAAUUUCGUUCACCCAUGUUUUUCUGCCAAAAUCUUCACUAUAACAUUUCCAGAUUCAUUUCUACAUCUUCCCGUGACAAUCUCCAAGGAUUAGUAGAUGCCGAGGACCCUUUUCUGCUUGACAAUUCUCGGGUUGAGUCUAUUUCCAGUGAAGAGUUUUCUUUUUUACGCGAUUCUUUGAUACACUCUAAUACUGGGGAGCAUAAAUUUGAUGCAGGUAAGUGCUCGAACGAGGCUGUUUUAAUUUCGCAUGCGAUUUUAACAAAUGAUGAUGGGUUUGGGAACAAAACCCAGAAAUUGCUUAGGCAAUAUAGAGAAAAAUUGAGUGAAUCUUUAGUAGUUGAAGUCUUGAAUCUAAUAAAAAACCCUGAAUUGGGCGUCAAGUUUUUUAUCUGGGCAGGCAGGCAAAUUGGGUAUAGUCACACUCAUUCUGUGUACGAGGCAUUGUUACAGAUAAUUGAAACUAGUGCUAAUAGUAAUGAUAGAAUACCAGAACAAUUUCUGCGUGAAAUUAAGGACGAUGACAAAGAAGUGCUUGGAAGGUUGCUUAAUUUUUUGAUUCGCAAGUAUUGUCAAAAUGGUUUGUGGAAUGCAGCAUUGGAAGAGUUAGGCAGGCUUAAAGAUUUCGGGUACAAGGCCUCAAGAUCAACUUAUAAUGCUUUAAUUCAAGUGUUUUUAAGAGCAGAACGAUUAGACACAGCUUAUCUGGUCCACAGGGAGAUGUCGGGUUUGGCGUACAGCAUGGAUGGAUUUACCUUGGGAUGUUUUGCACAUUCCCUUUGUAAAGCAGGGAAGUGGAGGGAUGCAUUGGCGUUAAUUGAGAAAGAAGAAUUUGUGGCCGAUACAGUGCUUUAUACUAAAAUGAUAUCCGGGUUAUGUGAAGCUUCCCUUUUUGAAGAAGCUAUGGAUUUUUUGAAUAGGAUGCGAGCAAGUUCUUGUAUUCCUAAUGUUGUCACAUAUACAAUUUUGCUUUGUGGGUGCUUGAGAAAGAAACAGCUGGGUAGGUGUAAAAGAAUACUAAAGAUAAUGAUUACAGAAGGUUGCUAUCCAAGUCCUAGGAUAUUUAAUUCACUCAUUCAUGCUUACUGCCAAUCAGGAGAUUACUCUUAUGCUUAUAAAUUGCUUAAGAAAAUGGUAAAAUGUGGGUACCAGCCGGGUUAUGUGGUUUACAAUAUAUUGAUUGGUGGUAUUUGUGGCAAUGAAGAGUUGCCUAGUAUGAAUGUAUUAGAGUUGGCGGAGAAAGCCUAUGGAGAAAUGCUUGAUGUGGGGGUUGUAUUAAAUAAGUUCAAUGUUAGUAAUUUUACACGGUGUCUUUGUGCCAUCGGAAAAUUUGAGAAGGCAUAUAAUGUUAUUUGUGAAAUGAUGAGUAAGGGCUUUAUACCUGAUACUUCCACAUAUUCAAAAGUCAUUAGUUAUCUAUGUAAUGCAUCCAAAGUAGAGAAGGCUUUUCUAUUGUUUCAAGAAAUGAAAAGGAAUGAUAUCACUCCUGAUGUCUAUACAUAUACAAUAUUGCUUGAUAGUUUUUGCAAAGCUGGUUUAGUAGAACAGGCUCGCAAAUUGCUUGAUGAAAUGCAAAGAUGUGAUUGUGCCCCAAAUGUGGUUACUUAUACUGCUCUUAUACAUGCAUACCUUAAAGUGAGGAAGAUAUCAAGUGCAAAUGAGAUUUUUGAGAUGAUGCUGUCCAAAGGUUGCAUUCCUAAUAUUGUCACAUAUACAGCUUUAAUUGAUGGUCAUUGUAAAGCUGGAGAGAUUGAAAAGGCUUGCCAGAUUUAUGCAAGAAUGAAGAAUGACAAUGUGAAAAGCUCAGAUAUAGAUAUGUAUUUCAGGGUUGUUGAUAGUAAGUCCAAAGAACUGAAUGUUUUUACUUAUGGAGCUUUAGUAGAUGGUUUGUGCAAAACCCACAGGGUCAAAGAGGCACGUGACUUGCUGGAAGUUAUGUCAAUGGAAGGUUGUGAGCCAAAUUACAUCAUAUAUGAUGCUCUCAUAGAUGGAUUUUGCAAGGUUGGCAAACUAGAUGAAGCACAAGAGGUUUUUACCAAGAUGUUGGGGCGUGGAUAUACUCCAAGUGUGUACACGUACAGCUCUUUGAUAGACAGGUUGUUUAAGGACAAAAGAAUGGAUCUUGCAUUAAAAGUUUUGUCCAAAAUGCUAGAAAACUCAUGUGCUCCCAAUGUUGUUAUUUACACUGAGAUGAUAGAUGGUCUGUGUAAAGAUGGAAAGACAGAUGAAGCCUAUAAACUUAUGCUUUUGAUGGAAGAAAAGGGGUGUCAUCCAAAUGUUGUGACUUAUACUGCGAUGAUUGAUGGCUUUGGGAAAGCAGGCAGAGUUGACAAAUGCCUUGAGCUGUUGCAGCAAAUGUGUUCCAAGGGUUGUGCUCCAAAUUUUGUCACCUAUAGGGUUUUGAUAAAUCACUGUUGUGCUGCUGGCCUUUUAGAUGAGGCUCAUAGACUUUUAGAAGAGAUGAAACAGACAUACUGGCCAAAGCACAUAGCAAUAUAUCGUAAGGUUAUUGAAGGUUUUAGCCGUGAAUUCAUAGCUUCUCUUGGUCUUUUAGUUGAGAUGACUGAGAGUGAUUCAGUGCCAAUUUUGCCAGUUUAUAAAAUUCUGAUUGAUAAUUUUAUCAAGGCUGGAAGACUGGAAGUGGCUCUAGAACUGCAUGCGGAGCUCUCAUCAUUUUCUUCUUUUUCAGCUGCUUACAGGAAUACAUAUUUCUCGUUAAUUAAAAGCCUUUCACUUGCAUGUAAAGUUGAUGAGGCUUUUAAGGUGUACGCAGACAUGAUUAGGAGUGGCCAUGUUCCAGAGCUAAGCAUAUUAGUUCAUCUUAUCAAGGGACUCCUUAGAGUCGGCAAGUGGGAAGAGGCACUGCAACUGUCAGAUGGCAUAUGUCGGAUGGAUAUCCAUUGGAUUCAAGAAAAACAAGCAGCUGAUGCUAAUUAGUUUUUGUUGCACAUAUUUUAUCAAUUUAAACAAAUCCAAUGGUUAAUGGUGCAUUAUUAAGUGAUUUGCUCAGAGAUUGACUUGCAAUUUCAAUCAAUCUAAUGGCUCCAUGUACAUCAUCAAGUGUUAAAUGUGGGUGCUUGGCUUCAAUGAGUUGCUGUUAUGAUAAUAAGGAGAAUAGG